UACGUAGGGGGGCAAGCGUUAUCCGGAAUUACUGGGCGUAAAGCGCACGCAGGCGGUUCGCCAAGUUUGGAGUGACAGUUGUCGGCUCAACCGACAAAAGGACUUCAAAAACUGGUGAACUUGAGGACGAGAGAGGAACAUGGAACUCCAGGUGUAGUAGUGAAAUGCGUAGAUAUCUGGAAGAACACCAAUGGCGAAGGCAAUGUUCUGGGCUCGUUUCUGACGCUCAGGUGCGAAAGCCAGGGGAGCGAACGGG
rnacentral:rRNA from 1 species